UACUUACGGUAUGAUUUUAUUCCUUUCAUAUGAUAUUAUAAAAGGCAAAACAAAUCUGCAGUCUUUAUAAAAAGUCAAACGGUGGUUGCCUGGGGACAGGGGUAGGCAGUAAAUGUUACAAGGAAACCUUCUCAAAGAAUGAAAUGUUGUAUAUAUAUUUUUUUUCUUUUUUUGUCUUUUGUCUUUUGAGGACCACAUCCACAGCAUAUGGAGGUUCUGGGGUUUGCCCAAGUUAAGAGCUCUGCAACUUUGCCCCCGGGUGGUGCCAGAGGCUGGCCCAUGAUGCCAUCUGUGCUGGCACAGGCUGAGGACUUGCACCCACCCUCUCACCUGCCCUGCCCCACCUCCGUGCUCCAGCUCCACACCCCUAAGGGGCCAAGCAAUUUGUCUAGGCCCAAGCAGGCAGGUGCCGUUCCUGAACUCCGUCUUACUCUAACUUUUAAAAGUCACUUUAUAUACUUUUAACUUUGAGUCAUAGAAGAAACACACAAAAGCAGGCACGAUAUAAGAAAUUCAAAAGCUACCAAAGACUACAAAAUGAAAACUGAGAAUUCUUCCCAACCACCUCCCUGAGCUCACCUACCUCCUGCCUCAAGAGGAAGCCUGGCUCAUGUCCCUGGAGGCGACCACAGGUCAUCAGGGCAUAUUAUCUGGCAAAACAACAGUCAAAAUGCUUGCUGUGGACCAGCGGUUGCCACAGGCCUCUUGUUGUUCUAGUCCCUUCUGGUUUCAUGGUCCCUAAGCCCGAGGCCCAGCCUGGGGUGUCAGGUCAGGGCAGGGAGAGGCAGUGCGGGUCUGACCAGGGGCGGCAGGGGCGGCGGCGGCGGCGGCGGCGGCGGCGGCAGCGGCGGAGGCGACAGCCAGGAGCAUGCAGGCGGGAACAGACCGUACUCACGCAAGGUUUGUCUGGGAUCACGCAGUGGCCUUGUCUUCCUCGUCUCCUCCCUCCCUUUACCACCCACGGGCCCCAGGACACCCUUGACCUUCUCUCGCACCAAAGCUGGGUUAAGAAGGAGGCUUUCAGGGGCUCUUCCACAGCCCUUAAAAUCAGGGUCAGCUCUUGGAGUUCCUGUCGUGGUGCAGCAGAAACAAAUCCGACUAGGAACCAUGAGGUUGCGGAUUCGAUCCCUGGCCUCGCUCAGUGGGUUAAGGAUCCAGCAUUGCCAGGAGCUGUGGUGUAGGAUCUGGCGUUGCUAUGGCUGUGGCAUAGGCUGGCAGCUGUAGCUCCGAUUUGACCCCUAGCCUGGGAACCUCCAUAUGCCACGGAUUCGGCCCUAAAAAGGCAAAAAAACAAAACAAAACAAAAAAACCCCUCAGCAUUAGCGCUUGCUUCUGGGUCUAACCUUAUUGCGGGUUUUACACCCUGUCUCCAGGGUCCAGUCCUAACUGCAUGCCUUCGACCUUCUAUGUCGCUAUAGGGGUAAUAUGUCCAGCACACCAGAUCCUCCUAAUUCGGUGGCCUGUCCCCGCCCUCACGUGUCCCCUGGCCUUGAAUCACAGCCCCACGGCAGAGCCUGAGAGUCUGCAGUGGCCCUCCUGAUGCAGGGCUCCAGGUGGCAGAAGGGACCUCCUCCUGGUGCCUGUGACCUGGCUGUCUCUUUAGUAUCCCCUCCCCAUGGUGAACCAGUCCAGGUAACGAGCUGUGUCCUAGUACAAGCCAGGUCCCAAAAGCAGGAGAGAGACAGGUGGCAGAGAUAAGUGCUUCCAGGUACCCUGACCCCAUCAGGUGAUAUCACAGGCGGGGGUGGCAGGGAAGAACUGUCCAGAACACUUGUUUGAAAGCUGAAGAAGGAGUUUAGGUCACUGGCCAUUCUCAGCUCUUCCNCACACACACACACACACACACACACACACACACACACACACACACACACACACACACACACCCAGCCAUCGGGCACCAGCGCAGAGGCAGUGCCAGCUGACCACCGAUGCUGCUGGUGGUGUUUGUCUUCUCCGUCCACCUCUAUCCUGUGGUCUGUGCACAGCGUUGUGGGACAGGCAGGGUGUGGAAUUCUAGGACCAGUGUGAGCUGUCAGCUAAGGAACAGCUUCUGAGCGCAUCCACCCAGAACUCUGCCUUCACAUGAAGAAUACAAGCCAGACCGAGAAUAAAACAGGGAGAUCAGGCCUGUGCUAUCCCAGGACACCCGAACAUUGAUGAGAAUUCCCCACCUGUCAGCCCUCUGGACCUUGACUUAGCUGCAGGGCACUGAGCUAUUGCUUAGAGGCAGAGCUGGUCCCCAGGAUGUGGAGAGAGGAGAAGCAGGCUCAGGACUUGCCAUGAGAAGCCAGGUGGAGGUUCCAGGUCUGAGAAUAAUGGGCUGUGACCUUGAGCCUCAGACAGCAAGCAGCAUGGACUCACAUAUCAUCUAAGGUCCUCUCCAUCUUCCACAUUUGGUGAGUCUAUGUUUUCCUCCAUUGCUCAAACAGGAAAAGCCACUGGUCUUCCUACCCAAGCUACUCCACCACAUUAGCAAGACCAGGAAAAGGCAUAUUUAUAUGUUUAACCAAGAUGGUGCUCCUAGUCACAAUAGCCAAGACAUGGAAACAACCUAAAUGUCCAUCAACGGAUGAAUGGAUUAAGAUGUGGUAUAUAUACACAAUGGAAUACUACUCGGCCAUAAAAAAGAAUGAAAUAAUGCCAUUUUGCAGCAACAUGGAUGGAACUAGAGACUCUCAUACUAAGUGAAGUAAGUCAGAUAGAGAAAGAGAAAUACCAUAUAAUAUCACAUAUCUGGAAUCUAAUAUAUGGCACAAAUGAACCUUUCCACAGAAAAGAAACUCAUGGACUUGGAAAACAGACUUGUGGUUGCCAAGGGGGAGGGGGAGGCAGUGGGAUGGACUGGGAAUUUGGGGUUAAUGGAUGCAAACUAUUGCCUUUGGAAUGGGUAAGCAACGAGAUCCUGCUGUAUAGCACUGGGAACUCUAUCUAGUCAUUUAUGACGGAGGAUGAUAAAGUGAGAAAAAGAAUGUAUACAUGUAUGUGUGACUGGGUCACCUUGCUGUACAGUAGAAAAUGGACAGAACACUGUAAACCAGCUACAAUGGGGAAAAAAUCAUUUAAAAAAAAAGAGAGAGAGAGAUGGUGCUCUUGGCCACCAUCCAGGCAUUUGCUGGGUGAUAUUCUCCUAACUGGAUGGAUGGGUAACUGGCCCACAGAGUCUUUGGAGAAGCAAAUUCUUGACUAUUCUCCUUGCCUGGGAUAGCUCAGAGUCACGCACACACAGUAGGCCUGCAGCAAGGCACUGAAUGAAAAGAGCAGGAUUGAGACAGCCAACCUUUCCCACAUAACCCACCAUAAAAUAAAGAACACCCUGUGGAGGCUUUGGGGGUUUGAAAUGCAUCUCAUAAAGGAAAAAAGUCUCUGAGCUCAACUAAUUGACCCAGGGGUCGGCGUGCAGCGAAUGCCAACCUGCUAAGGGAACAUAAGUUGGCUCAGGUGGAAGAUACUGAGGUUACAAGACCACGCCUCUGCUUAGAGAGUUUCGAAAGCACCCAAGCAACAGGUACAGACAGGUCUCAGGAGGCUGUUCGAAGGAGCACAAUAUGAUCUAAUAGCUUUAUAAUGUCCUCGAGGAAGAUAGGAGUGUAUCAAAUUUGCUAUCUAGAACUAAGCAGGUAAUUAAAGCUUCCUACAUGUAAAACAAAGACUUGAAUUCAAUAACCUGGAGUUCUUUUAGGCUUUAACUUUCUGUAGCCAUUCAUAAAUUUAAAUAUCCUGGAAAUAAUCAUCUCGUACAUUACAUGCAUGCUCAGGGAAGAAAUAUUUUUAGGUUCAUUCCAGGUGCAUUCUAAACACAUUGAGAAAUUGGGAGUUCCUGUCGUGGCACAGCAGGAAUGAAUCUGACUAGGAACCAUGAGGUUGCGUGUUCAAUCCCUGGGCUCACUCAGUGGGUUAAGGAUCCAGCGUUGCCGUGAGCUGUGGUGUAGGUCGCAGAUGUGGCUUCAAUCCUGCGUGGCUGUGGCUCUGGCGUAGGCCAGCAGCUGCAGCUGCCCUAGCCUGGGAACUUCCAUAUGCCAAGGGUGCGGCCCUAAAAAGACAAAAAGACAAAAAAAAAAAAAAAAAAA
rnacentral:lncRNA from 1 species